rnacentral:rRNA from 1 species
GACGAACGCUGGCGGCGUGCUUAACACAUGCAAGUCGUACGGUAAGGCCCUUUCGGGGGUACACGAGUGGCGAACGGGUGAGUAACACGUGAGUAACCUGCCCACAACUUUGGGAUAACGCUAGGAAACUGGUGCUAAUACUGGAUAUGUGCUCCUGCUGCAUGGUGGGGGUUGGAAAGCUCCGGCGGUUGUGGAUGGACUCGCGGCCAAUCAGCUUGUUGGUGGGGUAGUGGCCUACCAAGGCGGCGACGGGUAGCCGGCCUGAGAGGGUGACCGGCCACAUUGGGACUGCGAUACGGACCAGACGCCUACGGGAGGCAACAGUGGCGAAUAUUGCACAAUGGGGGCAAGCCUGAUGCGAAAACGCCGCGUGCGGGAUGACGGCCUUCGGGUUGUAAACCGCUGUCAGCAGGGAAGGAGCUUUUUGUGACGGUACCUGACGAAGAAGCACCGGCUAACUACGUG